GAUGAACGCUGGCGGCGUGCUUAACACAUGCAAGUCGAACGAAGCACUUAAGAUUGAUUCUUCGGAUGCCGUCUUUUGUGCCUUAGUGGCGGACGGGUGAGUAACGCGUGGGUAACCUGCCUCACACAGGGGGAUAACAGUUAGAAAUGACUGCUAAUACCGCAUAACCCGAUAGGAUCGCAUGAUCCAGACGGAAAAGAUUUAUCGGUGUGAGAUGGACCCGCGUCUGAUUAGCUAGUUGGUGAGGUAACGGCCCACCAAGGCGACGAUCAGUAGCCGGCCUGAGAGGGUGAGCGGCCACAUUGGGACUGAGACACGGCCCAAACUCCUACGGGAGGCAGCAGUGGGGAAUAUUGCACAAUGGGGGAAACCCUGAUGCAGCGACGCCGCGUGAGUGAAGAAGUAUUUCGGUAUGUAAAGCUCUAUCAGCAGGGAAGAAAAUGACGGUACCUGACGAAGAAGCCCCGGCUAACUACGUG
rnacentral:rRNA from 1 species